rnacentral:rRNA from 1 species
UGGGGAAUUUUGGACAAUGGGGGCAACCCUGAUCCAGCAAUGCCGCGUGUGUGAAGAAGGCCUUCGGGUUGUAAAGCACUUUUGUCCGGGAAGAAAUCCUUUUCGAUAAUACCGAAGGUGGAUGACGGUACCGGAAGAAUAAGCACCGGCUAACUACGUGCCAGCAGCCGCGGUAAUACGUAGGGUGCGAGCGUUAAUCGGAAUUACUGGGCGUAAAGCGUGCGCAGGCGGUGAUGUAAGACCGAUGUGAAAUCCCCGGGCUUAACCUGGGAACUGCAUUGGUGACUGCAUCGCUGGAGUAUGGCAGAGGGGGGUAGAAUUCCACGUGUAGCAGUGAAAUGCGUAGAGAUGUGGAGGAAUACCGAUGGCGAAGGCAGCCCCCUGGGCCAAUACUGACGCUCAUGCACGAAAGCGUGGGGAGCAAACAGG